CCUCAGAGAGAUGAUCAUGAACAUUGCCUGUUGUUUUCAAGGACCGUUCUCUUCCACAUCUAAUACCUUCUUACUUUACUGAGAGAUAAAGACAAGAUGAAGAAGUUGUGAUAAGGGAACGUUAAUAGCCUGAGAUGUGGGCUUCUGGAGAGCUUGGAUGUUAGAGAAAAUGUAAAAAUGUCUGAUAUAACUGCACUUAAAAAUAAAGUUUCUACCAGUGG